rnacentral:rRNA from 1 species
UACGGAGGGUGCGAGCGUUGUCCGGAAUUACUGGGCGUAAAGGGCGCGUAGGUGGCCAACUAAGUCAGACGUGAAAUCCCCCGGCUUAACCGGGGAACUGCGUCUGAUACUGGAUGGCUAGAGUGUGGGAGAGGGAUGCGGAAUUCCAGGUGUAGCGGUGAAAUGCGUAGAUAUCUGGAGGAACACCGGUGGCGAAGGCGGCAUCCUGGACCAUGACUGACACUGAAACGCGAAAGCCAGGGGAGCAAACGGG